UUGGUGUUUAGAUUACUUUUUUCUCCUGCACACAGACUUCUUGAACUUUCCCCUCUUUUUGCCAAGUUCUUCCAGGUAAGUUCAAGAAUCUUCAGCAGUAGCACCUCGUGAUAGUCUCCCAAGAGGAUCUUGCAUGUUGCUGUCUUACUGACUGUUGCUGGCCCAUCAUUUCAAUGGGGCAAAGCAGUGUUAGACCUGGGAGGAGGCAUUUACAAAUGGACCCUUUGAAAGUCUGAGUUCCGAUCCUUCACUUCUUUCUCUGGAAGCAAGGGUCCUUGCAGCUCACUUGCUUGGAAGUGGAACCUCAACCCUAAAAUACACAAAACCAAGCUGAUCUUUUGAACCCAGGAAAUUAUGUGGGUUUGACCUUCGACAGAAUGGAACCCAAACACAUUGCUUACAUUUGCUGGUAUGAAAGCUGGCAACAAUUGGUUAAAGUGAAAAGUAUUUAAAGUUGUUGUAUAUACAGCCUCCCUUCCCCUGGGCAUGGGGCUCUCACAUGGGGCUCUCACAGUGCCCUGUGUGUCCAGCACUUGGAGUGUCAUCCAGCCACAGACUCUUGACAAGAUCAGAAUAUGCCAGGAAUCAAACAAUGUGUCAGCCACACAGUGCUCAGUGCUCCCCAGUUCCCUGGAAACCCACUUGUUCCUUGCUGGAGGAGUGGAUUUAAGACAGUGAUCCCGAGAGCAUCUCAAUCAAGGCACACAGGUGACAGCAUCCCGGUCACCAGUUCUACAAUUGUCCCACAGCAGCCAGGCUGGCCUUCUCCUUGUGUGUCCCACAGUUCAGAAAGGGACUCUGAACAUGGAAUGUUUCCAAGGCAGGAAUUCAGUCUUUACCUUGUUCUUUGCUGUAAUAAAUCGUGUUUAGAUGAGGUACCAUCUCUGGAGCAGUCCCACUUCUCCACUAUGCUGAGAGUCCAUCCCUAGCUUGGCCUAACUUCUGUGACCAAAUUGCAGUAAGUGUUUUUUUGUCAGUGAUCAUCAUAUUUGGGAUGUCUUUGAGUGCAGUCUGUAAACUGCCUUUCUGGGAAAUAUUCUGAGGACAAAACACAGUUGAGGAAAUUUGGUCAGGUGGGUUGAUGGUCUGAAGUUCCUACCUGUCACUGUCUUUUUAUUGCAAAUAAAGAAGGCUGGAUAUGAGAAAAGAUAAAUCAUAUGAUUUGGAAGAAUUUUCCACUGGAUGAAAGGUAACACAGGUUCCCAGGUGACAGUGAGCUGGACCUGUUACUCCAGGGAAUACGAGCCAUGCUGUGCCUUACAUCACUGGCAGAGGACCAUGAUUCUCUUGCUUCCAAGCCAGCAGUCCUGGGCAGUCCUUGGUAGCUGCCCUGCAGAGAUGAAAGGCUUAGAUUAUCUGAGUUAAGGGAAAGGUUGCUCUCAACAGCUUCUGGCCCGCAUCAUGUGCUUUCCUUAUUUUUUUUUUUUAUUUAGAAACUAUUUUGUUUUUUUUCUUUUUUUGCUGUAGUUUUCAAUUUUUUUUUCCACUUUAGAUCCAUGAUGGCUGCUUGCUGAUGAAAGUAGAUGGAAUAGCAUAGGUUGAAAUACUCUGGGGAGAUGGGUAGCCUCCUUCCUCAAGGAGCAGGAAGUCCAUAAUUUUUUUGCUGUUGGUUUUCAGAGGUGAAAGUAUCAACCCAGGGUUUCCAAGCUCUUGGACGGACAUCUGUGCACUGGGGAAGGGCACCAUGCUGCUUGUGUGCCACAUUGCUUGGGUGUGCUUGCCGACUUUUUCUCCCCAAAGGAAAGCCACGUAAUAGCAUUUUUAUGUGAUUUUAAUUUGCAGAUUUUUCUAAAAUAUAGGUUUUGCAGUUAAUGUAUUGUCUUAUCUUGUAGUGGACUUGGCCAGUGCUAGGUUAACAGUUGCACUUGCUGAUUUUAAAGGGCUUUUCCAACAUAACUGAAUCCAUGGUUCUGUAAUGACUCAGAAGUGAGGACAUGUGGUGGAGGACCCUUUCAGUCCCGUGCACAGGCUGAUGUACAGAGGCAUGAAAGCAGCCUAAUGGUUUGAAACAUCCUUGGCUAUGAAACAAGGGGAAGUACAGGAAAAUAAAACAAAACAUCCACCAAA